UACGUAGGGUCCGAGCGUUGUCCGGAAUUACUGGGCGUAAAGCGCGCGCAGGCGGCCCGCGAGGUGUCACGUGAAAGCCCCGGGCUCAACCCGGGAGGGUCGUGGCAAACCGGCGGGCUUGAGGCCGGUAGAGGUGGGUGGAACUCCUGGUGUAGCGGUGAAAUGCGCAGAUAUCAGGAGGAACACCAAUGGCGAAGGCAGCUCGCUGGGACGGUACUGACGCUGAGACGCGAAAGCGUGGGGAGCAAACAGG
rnacentral:rRNA from 1 species